CCUCUUCUCAGAACACUUCCUGGGUCUGUUUGAUGGCCUGGGGUGCUGUCAGGGAAGAGCAAAGCAUGUGACCCUUACUUUUGGGUGAGAUGACAGCAGGAUUUACUGUUGGUCUCUGUCAGUAAUGGAACACAA
rnacentral:snoRNA from 1 species